rnacentral:misc_RNA from 1 species
AAGUCGUAACAAGGUUUCCGUAGGUGAACCUGCGGAAGGAUCAUUAUCACGUUUCUAUCCAAACGUAUUCGACAACGCGUUAUGUUAUUUUCUCUCCCGUGUGAACUACAUGUAUCGGCCUUACACGCUAACUGAGGGUAUGGGAUGGGUUUAGUCGAGAGGCUAUCCGAACUCAGACGUGGACAUUACGAUAGUAGUAGGGACGCGGCUAGCUGUGAAUGAGUAGGCCCCUCUAUCCCAGGGUCAAAAGUUUGCGGCACCCCAUUUUCUUUAACAAUUUUCACCCCUUUUUUGCUAGUUGACUUUAUCUGCUCGUCCACUCUCUUCAUUGAGAGGGGCAGCACGUUUAAUUUCUUAAUUGAACGUUAAAUACAAUACAACUCUUAGCAAUGGAUAUCUUGGUUCUC